AUUGAACGCUGGCGGCAGGCCUAACACAUGCAAGUCGAACGAGUGGCGGACGGGUGAGUAAUGUUUGGGAAUCUGGCUGAUGGAGGGGGAUAACUACGGGAAACUGUCGCUAAUACCGCAUACCAUCGGAUGAGCCCAAGUGGGAUUAGCUUGUUGGUGGGGUAAUGGCUCACCAAGGCGACGAUCCCUAGCUGGUCUGAGAGGAUGACCAGCCACACUGGAACUGAGACACGGCCCGGACUCCUACGUGAGGCAGCAGUGGGGAAUAUUGCGCAAUGGGGGCAAGCCUGAUGCAGCCAUGCCGCGUGAAUGAAGAAGGCCUUCGGGUUGUAAAGUACUUUCAGUGAGGAGGCGUUAAUCACAGAAGAAGCACCGGCUAACUCCGUGCCAGCAGCCGCGGUAAUAC
rnacentral:rRNA from 1 species